rnacentral:rRNA from 1 species
AUACGAAGGUCCCAAGCGUUAUUCGGAAUCACUGGGCGUAAAGAGUACGUAGGCGGUUUGGUAAGUCCGGUGUGAAAUCCCGAAGCUCAACUUCGGAACUGCAUCCGAUACUGCCAGACUUGAGUAAUGGAGAGGCAGGUGGAAUUCUCGGUGUAGCAGUGAAAUGCGUGGAUAUCGAGAGGAAGACCAAUGGCGAAGGCAGCCUGCUGGACAUUUACUGACGCUGAGGUACGAAGGCUAGGGGAGCGAAAGGGAUUAGAAACCCCGGUAGUCC